rnacentral:lncRNA from 1 species
GCCACAGAACCUGUGAGUGUGUAAUAGUGUGUGUGUGUAUAUGUUAAUUGUUACUAUUAUGUGUGUGUGUACGUGUACCUGUUUGUCACUUUGUGUGUGUACCUGUGUCUGUAUGGAAGUGUGUGUGUGCGAGUGCAUGCAUUCAAGCAAUCAAACAUCAUUACUACAAACAAACUACAAUUAGAUUUUUGGUUAAUAUUGCACCUUGUCUACAUUCUACAAAUUAUAUUAUUAUUAUAUAAAUUCCACAGUGCUGUACAAUAGGUGGAUUAAAAGAAAACGUAAUUGUAACCAGACAAGUUGGAUGCACAGGAACAGAGGGGUUGAGGGUCCUGCUCAAUGAGCUUACAUGCUAGAGGGAGUGCGAUAAAGUGACACAAAAGGUAAUGGUAGGGUAGAAAACUAGGUUGCUAGAAUAAUAUUCACUAUAUGACAGUUACAGGAGAUGAAUCAGGGUGCGGGGGCUAAACUAUUAACAGUUUACUUGAUAUGCCUUCCUUAAGAAGUGAAUUUUCAGUGGUGACUGGGUGAACAUCAGAGAAGGGAAGGGAGUUCCACAGGAACGGUGCAGCCCUAGAGAAAACAGAGGAUAGAUGUAGGUCUUCAGCAGAUCGUAGGGGCCUUGACAGGACAUAUUUGUGUAUUAGGAAGGAUAGAUAGUUUGGAGUAGCAUUAUGUAGAGAUUUGUAAACAAGAUUCAGAAUUUUAAAUUGAGCAGUGCAGACCAAUGCAGGGAUUAACAGAGGGGGUAGACGUAAGAGGUGCGGGCAGGCAGGAAGAUGAAAUACAUUUUUUAAAAAAGCACUUCUAGCGCUUCCGAUAAUGUUAGUAGGCAGCUAGGACAACCCAAGCCAGAGUUUUUUUCAUCCUGGUAGUAGGUAAGAUGCAAGAUGAAGAAAGAGGGUUGGAGCGCAUUGUGAGUGUCUUCUGAUUAAGAUGGUGCUCAGUGCAUGUAAAAGAGCAGGAGACAAUAUUGUGUAGUAGGUACCUAUACUUGGUGAAAAAAAAUAUAGAAAUGCUCACUAAUAAUAAUAAAAAAAAACAGUAUUCAAAUAAAAUAAAAAAAGAGGGUUACUGAAAAAAGAAGAGAAAAAGUGGUUUUGCUCAAUCCAAAUAGCGUAGGUGGUAAAAUUCCCACCAAUGAUACUUCUGGAGUCCUCUUGGAUAACAUCUUCUAAAAGCAAUUAGGAGGGUCCAAAGUAGAUACAAAAAUAUACACUUUUUGUUACAUAACAUAUAAAAAUACACUUGACUUGUUUUGUCAAAUCACAGGGUUUUUAAAAAGUGUUGAAAAGUGAUCCUGACAUACUUCCUGGAAAAUUGUUGCUGCACCAGUAUAUCUACAGGCAGGGAUCAUACCGCCCAAGCGCUACUAUUUGGAGCUGUUUAGAAGCUCCAUAGAACUGUAAGGGCAUUUCUUUAUUUUCUUCACCAGGUAUAAGUACCUACUACACUAUAUUGUCUCCUGCUCUUUUACAUGCACUGAGCGCCAUCUGGAUCAGAAGACACUCACAAGGCGCUGUGACCCUCUUUCUUCAUCAGACAGGAAGUUGAGUCUCGCCACCACACUCAUUAUAGACUGUAAUGGGACAAGUUGGGAGCACGUAAGACCACUGAGAAGUGGACUGCAGUAGUCUAAGCGAGAGAGGAUACCGGCAUGGACCAGCACCUUAGCUGCAUCCAGCGUUAACGUGGUUCACCUUCAGUAAGGCUUUCUCAAAGUGUUUACUUGAACACUUUGAGAAAGCCUUACUGUAGGUGAAACACAUUAGUGUUUUUACUAUUUGACUCCAAAUAAAGAUAGUCAUUUUAUGCAAUUUGGAGUUUCCUGACCUAUCUUUGGCCUAUUUGGAUUAAGCAAUACCUAUAUUUGCUCUCUGUUUGGCAGUAUACCUCUUUUUUAUCUGAUUUUUUUUUCCUUUUAAAAAAAAAUAUUCAAAGAGCACUAUAUUUUGUUUUUAUUUUCCCUCCUAUAUACUGAGGACAUCUGACUGCUGGAGUACUGCACAUCAAAUAAGAACACUUCUACAACUGUGAAAGAUGCCUCUGAAUACGCACAAGAACCACCAACAUAUCCACAGACGGGGAUUGUACAGUCGACAAGGUGACUUUCUGUAUCAAAGUUUGUUCUGUUCGAGUCCACCCUUCCAAUGUUCUAUUCAGGAGACACUCCUAUGGAGUUAAGUCCAGUCGUCUAUUAAAAAGUUUUUCCAGAACAUAGCCUACUGCAGACCAGAGUAGCCUAAUCCCACCACAUGUAUAGGUAUGUGCCUUUGAGGCUGCAUCCCCUCCAGCACAAGUUAGUUGGGGUCUGGUGCAUGCGAUAGUUUCACUGGUUUCAGUCAGAAACAGCCUCUCAUAAAAGGUCAGAAUUUAUUCUCGCGGUCUCUUUAAUGCAGAUUGCAAAGUCCCUUAUCUGUAAAUAGCGAAAGAAGUCAGCUGGGGUAAGUGCAGGGCUGGACUGGGGAUACAAAGCAGCCCUGGAAAAAAAAUUUGUGCCAGCCCCAUAAGUCACUGCGCCAUAUAUUGUCGCGUGUAAUAUGUAAGGCUAUGUCUUGCCAUGACAGAUGAUUGAGUAAUAUAUAUAUAUAUAUAUAUAUAUAUAUAUAUUUUUUUUUUUUUAUUUUUAUUUUUUUCUAAUAUAAAAUAUUGGUGCCUCUGAUGCAUUGAAUCAAUGUAUCUCUAUGGGGAACGUUCAGCAACUACAGAGUGUGGAGGCCCUGAAUGUAGGUGCACUGACACAUGAAGCACCUCUAGUGACCGUCUGAGUGACUGUCACUAGCAGUGCCACUUUGAAGCAAUGUAAACACUGCCUUUUCUCUGAAAAGUCAGUGUUAAAGUUGAAAAGCCUGUAGGGACAUGCUAUAGACACCAGUACCACUACAUUAAGCUGUGUGUGUGUGUCUGCUAGUGAGUGAACUUGCUUGCAUGCGUGUGCCUGCUAGUGAGUGAGCUUGUGUUUUUAUGUCAAUGAGCUGAUGUAUAUCAGUGAGAUUGUUUGUCUAUGAGGCUGUGUAUCAAUGAGCUUGUGUGUGUCCUUGAGAUGUCAGUGAAAUUGCCUGUGUCUGCAUGUGAGUAUGCUUACUGUAUAAUUAAACGUUUUACCCUGAAAGGACCAAUAUUUUAUAUUAGAAAAAAGAAAAAAAAAAAAAAAUAUAUAUAUAUAUAUAUAUAUAUAUUACUCAAUCAUCUGUCAUGGCAAGACAUAGCCUUACAUAUUACACGCGGCACCUGGGGCCGGGCAGGUGUUUGCCUGGCCCCAGGUGCCGACGGCCCACCGGGAAAUUUCCCGGUAUCCCGGUGGGCCAGUCCGGCCCUGGGUAAGUGUGGUGCGUAUCUGAAGUUUAUCAAAGGACACUAUCUGAGUCCCUUCAUAUAAAUGACAAUAUAUCUGGAGGCCUGCCCGUUCUAUAUUUUGGAAGUCGCAGACUGACAUACCUGAAGGGAACGCCUGGUUUCUGAGUAAUGGAGUGAGUGGGGACGGGGAAGAGGAUAAGCCAAAUUUAAAAGCUAUUGCAUCCCAAAUUCUGAGAGUUAAGUAUAGCUGGGCACGUGGACCGUAAUAUCACUCUGCUAUUCCGAGGAACCCACAUAUAAUAUUGGGGAAGAUCUGCUCCUGUCAUUAAGGAUUCCAAGUCAACCCAUUUCCUAACAUCUAUGAUUACAUGCAACAUUGCUAUGUGAGUAAGCUGUGCAGCUACAUAAUAAUAGUAAAGAUGUGGCAGUCCCAGUCCUCCCCUUGUUUUUGGGCGGUAGAGGACGUUUCUGGAGACCCUGUGCCUCUUGUUCUGCUAUAUGAAUGAACCUAUAGCACUUUGUAGAGGUGCUAAGUCUGCUUUCGUAAUCUUAAUCGGGAGGGCCUGGAACAAGAAUAGAAUACGCGGCAAUAAGUUCAUCUUCAUGGAUUGAACUCGGCCGAACCACGAUAUUGGUUUAUCCAUCCAAUAGUCCAUAUCUUUAAUCAAUGUUUUUAAUAAGGGUUUGUAGUUCAUUUUGAACAAUUUAGAGGGAUCAGCCAUUAGUCCCCAGGUAUUUGAGGGAGCGCUGUACCAUAUGAAUGCUAUAAGUGGAUUGGAAAUAUGCCAUGUCUUCCACUUACAUGCCCAAGGGGAGGGCGCUAGAUUUAUUCAUAUUCGCUUUAUAGCCUGAGAUGGAGCCGUACGUCGCCAAAAGAUCCUGGAGUUCUGCUAUUGACCCUACUGGGUUGGUAAGCUAGACUAAAAGGUCAUCUGCAUAUGCAGAUACCAAAAAUUCUGAAACCCCGACCAUGAUCCUGUAAAUAUCCGGAUGUUCACAAAUAGCUUGCAGAAGGGGUUCCAAUGAUAACACGAACAGCAAUGGAGAAAACAGACAACCCUGCCACGUACGGUUACCCAACUUAAAAGGCAUAUUCAGAGCUCCCAGGAUACGAACCUGUGCAGUCACAUUGCUGUACCAUGGUGAGAUAAGAUGGUAGAAGCCUAAAAAGACAAGAAGACCAAAAAUAUAGGGCCAGUGGACCCUAUCAAAGGCCUUUUCGGCAUUUAGGGAGACAAGUAAAGAAGGGAUCCUGGCGGUGACUUCUCUUCAGAUCAGAUCUAUAUUCCUGCGUGUGUUCUCAAAUAAUUGACGCCCAGGUAUGAAACCCACUUGGUCUGCAUUGAUUAAUUUGGUUAAGUAGGGGUUCAACCUGUCCGGUAGAAUCUUGGCCAGUAUAUUGGAAUCAUGAUUGAUUAGAGAGAGAUGGGCAACAGGGGUCCCUGUCCGGUUUUGAUAUCAGGACUAUCGUAGCUAAAGACAUAUCCCUAUCUAGGGACUCGCCUUCCUGUAAAUCGUUAAAGAGCAAUUCGAGCUUAGGGGUCAGAUCUUCCCGAAACACCUCAUAGUAUCUACCAUCAAAACCAUUUGGUCCCUGAGCUUUGUUCCCUUUAGGGGUCGAGAUCCCUUUGCAAUCUCCUCACUAGUGAUCUUAUAGCCAAGCCUUCCAAAUGCAUCUGGGUGUAGUUUAAGUAGAUUUAGUUUAGAAAGAAAAGAGCCCACGUGCCCGCUUUGUGGGCUGGCCAAAUUGUGUUUGGCAUGAGAUCUCACGUAUCGUUUUAAAAAAAAUAUUCUUGUAAUUCUUUAUGAACAGCUGAAAUGAUUGUAGGGUCCCUCAACAAUUAAGCGUUCACUUUCCAGGACCAUGUCGAGGCCGUACACAGAUUGCCUAACUGAAGGGAAAUAUCCGCAUGUUCUGACUAAGUAAUCGAACCGAUCUCGGAGCCAACGACUCAGGCUAGACAGUGAUUGUUAACUAGGAAAUAAGCUAUCCGGGGAAAUGAAUCAUGGUGCACUGAAUGGAAAGAAUAGUGCACGUCUGUGGGAUGUUGUGCCCUCCAGAUGUCUAUAAGCCCGGUAUUCUGUAUGAACUUAUGGACCAACUUGUCCUGAUCCCCUCUACCCUGUGAAUGUUGGAGUUCUCUGCAAGAGCUGCGGUCGAUGGCAGGACACGGCACAGCAUUAAAAUCACCAGCCAUCAGGAUCAUGCCAUGUGGUAAGGCCCACACUCUAGUCUCAAGAAAAUCCCAAAAAUCUGGAUUGGGGGCGUUAGGAGCAUAAAUAUUAAUUUAAUUUUAAUUAAUAAUGGGAGUGCAGUGUGCCAGACAACAUCACAUAUCUGCCCUCUGGGUCCAACUCAGAACUAGUGAAAUGGAAAGGACAUCUAUUAUGAAUCAGAAUCGCCACCCCAUUAAAUUUACAAAUGGCUCUAGCAUCACAGACUACACAAUAGGAGUGAUCCCUCAGUGGUAUGCCAGCAUGUUUGGGGAGGUGUGUUUCCUGGAGAAAGGCUAUGUCCGAAGACAGACAUUUCAGUUCCCUAAACAUAAGCCAUCUUUUCCUAGGGGCAUUCAGACCCUUAACGUUUAAAGAUGUAAUCUGUAAUGUCAUUGUAGUCGAUAAGUCUGCAAGCUACCAUCUGUGUCAAAAGAGUGAUAAAUAAAAAGUAGCAUUCCCAAACCCAUCCUGACAACCCGGCACAUGGACCCCCCCACUGCUGCCCCCCCAACCCUCCAAAGCGACCAGAAAAAUAUAUUGAAGGGAGAGGAAAAGGAAGUAAAAAGAAACAGAAGAGAAGUAGCACAAACUAGUAAUGCUAAUCGCCUGGACGUACCAAUCGCCAGGCCUCUAUGGGGUGCAUGACUCAGCACCUCCAACCCGAAAAUCAUGAGCGGGAGUCGCUGACCCAUAGACCCGGACAGAACCACAUAUCUUGCCAUAACAAUCAAUACCAACUUCUUAACUCCCUUCACAGGUGCUCUGCUCAACACCAACCUGGAACGCCCCCUUAUAAGGAGGGGAAGAGAGGGGGGUAUCAAGAUCAUGAAGGGUCUGAGGGAGAAAAAAACCCUUCCCCUUCAAAGUGUAUCACUGCCCCAGGGAUCUAGAAGCUUGGGACCCAACCUAUUGGAGCAACACAAUUCCCUAGAGAUCUAAACCCAUCCCCCAUCGCCUACUGUACGCAGGUGGGUACCUUGUAAUGUUUAUCUAAACCGCCAGAUAAUAUCCAUACCAAAACUAUCUCCAACCUUUUAAGAGUGGAGCUCACAUUGAACAGUGUUCUUUAUGUUGCAUGAUGAUAACAGGUGGACCUCAUAACUAUGGUCUACUCUACAAUUUCAAACCUUCACGGAAAGCAUGGCCAAUUGCAUCACUGGGUUGAUUUUUAAAGCCAAUAUGGAUGCUGAUAGGCCCACAAUAGACUGUCAGGGAUUAUGUAACCAAGCCAACAGAACCACUGUGAAGUUUCGCAAUUGACCUUGCCUCGCAAUGGCGUAUAGACAUAACCUUUAAACCAGAAAUUCCACUAAAGAUAUCAGGGCAAAUUUCUGUCAGCAAAUGAAAUAUUCCACAUCUACACCAUGCCUGCUCUCUCCCCUGUGAUGCCAUAUACUCAGAUCCUAAAACACUGGGUUAAACAUAAAAAAGUAAAUGUCAAUAUGGCAUCUCAUGGUCCCCCUCCUCUGUGGGUAAUCGCUGAGUUGUGUGCCUCCGUCGUGACUUCCAGCUGGUGCUCCACUCUGGCCCUCCAGGUGCCCAGGGCCUGAAUCUCCCCCUCAAGACUCCUGUGAACCGUACGAUCUCUUCAGCCAGGUAAGUCUUUAGGGUUAACAGGAUCUGUGCCAUGUCUGGCUGGGGGGAUUCUCCACUUGUGGUGGCUUCAGUCCACUGUGGUGUGUCUCAGGCUGGCAAUCCCGGGCCGCCGCCAUCUUGUGGUCCAGGUGGAGGGGCCCUCGAGGCCGCAAAUAGAUCUGCUACCAUCGCUCCCUGUUCCAGGAGUUUUUUGGAUGGACAUUUAUCCAUUCCUAGAGGAAGGUAACAAUUUAGAUGGUAUAGAAAUGCCUUUGUAGCUUAUGGCAGCGAUACUGGAGCAAAGCCUCAAGCAAACACAUCCAGCUCGCUCCUUGUCAGACCACGCUCCCAUAUUUCGAUUUUUUUAACUGAGGAUUUGGGGUGGAGGUUGGGGGAAGCACAAAUUACAGCUAGGUUUCAGUUGCCUACUAGAAUUACAAUAACACUAUAACAUUCUCUUUAAGAAAGGAUCAAGAAACUUCUACAAAAUUUUGAUUAAAAUUAUUUUCAUUAAAAUCUAGCAUGAAUAUAAAUCUAUUACGUUCUGCUUUAUUGAACAAAAAAACCAAAAAACAUUUUGUUGCAAUAUGACAAUACUAUAGAAUUAUUCAGACCAGCAGUGUGUACAUUUUCCAGUUUUUGCUUUAACGUAACACAGUGAAUAGGGGAAUUCAUUUUUCUAUAAGUGAAUCUUUGUUGGCUCAGCAAUGUUUAAACAAGCUGCUCGCCCUGAACAGGAAAUUAUUAGUGAUCAAGACUGGUGCUAUAAAGAUUGCAGUUUGCUAUGUCAGAUAUGUGCAUAAAUGAUACAGUGUGUGUAAAGUAGAUUGUGGUUAAGAGACGCCGUAUCAGGCCACAAAAUGGCUGUAUCCCACUGAGACACUUUUUGUGCUAUGGCUGGCCCACACAAAAUGAACACUCACAGAGGGUAGAGUAACAGCGUGAGGCAAAUGUAUACUUUGCAAACCUCACAGCCCUUAGUAAUAGCCUUUACUUCAAUAAAUUCAUAUUAAUUGCUAAAUAUGUUGCUACCUCGGGGCUUAAAGGGUUACUCCAACUGAACAGCUGCAUUUUAGUUAAAAAAAACAAAAUGUCAAUAAUGUCUGCUAACCACCACGGCAAAAAAUAAUAAAGAAAAAAAUUAUUAAAAUUUAUGCAGCAAAAGAAGCAGAGGUGCUGUAAGAUUUCGGCAAAGUGAGGGAAGCAAACUUUAAACCCUGAUUUUGCAUUUACUGUUCAUAUGAGUAAUUUAACCCCUUAUUACCUAUGGGAGAGAGGCGGCUUUGAGGAUAAAAACAGCCGGGACUUAUAACAUUGAUAAACAUAACACACGGGUGGUCAUUGGUGUCAACUGGUGAGGAAACAGAGUCUAUGUCCCUUAGACAUACACAGACUACUCUGAACUCUCAUUCAUAUUGUGCUGACUAUACUGAUGAAGGCCGCGUGAUAUGUUACACAUCAAAACUCCAGCAGCCUUUAUUUUUAAAAUCUAUAUAUUGCAUGCUCUGUGUGAAUUGGACCAUCUUCACAGAAAAAGGCCAUUUGUUUGUACUUUCUAUAACCUAAUUAUAUUCUUUAUUUUUAUUGUGCAUGGUGUUUACAGAGCAUAUCAAUGACGCCACAACAGCGUAAACAUUUAUCAUUGCGGUAUGAACAGUGGCAUUGAAAAUGGUAACUGAAACUAUCAAACAUAUUAUUUGUGCAUUUGUUUGUACUUGCUCCUCAGACCAAAGAUUGUCAGCUCGUACCUGGUGCGCAGUCUGAUAAGAGUCCAUCUUCCAUACCCUCAAGUCAUUCUGUAGCAUCCCAUAAUUUCAAGAGUGCACCUGAUGCAGCGAAUCCUGGAAAGCGACACACAUCCUUUGCAAAAAGGGUAGCAGUGUUCUUCUUCAUAUGCCAUCACUGAGGAGAAGAAGCAAUCUUUAGGUAAGUAUAUCUUUUAAACUAUACCUUUGAUGGUGAUCUCUCCAUGACAUGAUGUAUUAGGUCAUUCUAUUCUGACCUAAAGGUAAACUUGUACGGAAGACAUUUUUAGAUGACAGAUUCAUUUAGAAGAUAAAAAUCUCAUAUUCCUCUUUGUGCCUAUUAUUUACAGCAAGCCUAUUCCCAAGAAAUAUUCCCUAGAAGAAACACUGUAACGUUGUGCGUAUAUAUAUCUCUGUAUUCCUAAGGCUACAGUCCUGGAGCAACCCAAUCUGUAUAAAAAUGAAAUAAUAAACUAAUUACUUACUCUUUCUCCAGCACCGAGUCUCCCUUGACGCGGCUGCGACUUCCUUGGGUUGCAUCAUUCACGAGGUGUGCCUCCAGGAUAACUGGACAAUGAUGGGGAACAUAGGCCCAUGCGCGACACUCUUCGCGAUGCACCUACAAUGCCUUCAUAGAGAAUCAUUGUACUCAAUAAUUCUCUAUGGACAACCGUAACGGCACUACGCGUGUGCGCACAUGUGACGUCACUCACGGUAUGUUACUGUAUGAGAACCAGGAAAUAAGAUUCCUGUCUCUCAAACCCAGAAGGCUUUAAAGCCUUCUAAUUACUUUAAUAUUGGCUUUUGGAGGGUAGGAUGGGGGACAGGACUGCAGGCACUAUAACAACUUUAAUAACAUGAAGUUGUUAAAGUGCCUACAGUGUCUCUUUAGUUUAUCCACAAACUUGGGUUACAUUGAAUUGCAUUCAUUCUAUUUAUUUAACAUUUAAUAUAGGGGAAGCCAUCAUUUGGUACUUGUUACAUUACCCAAACUCUGGAGGUUUCCUUUUAGGUGAGCAUAUCUGUUAAAAUUACAUUGGAUUACCUGUCUAGACCCAGAAUUCUUUGCAGUAUAAUUAGCAUUUUAUUUUAAGCUUCAUUCAGAGCAUAUAGACUUGGCUCUUGUCUGGCAUUUUGUUUCACUUAACUUAAACCUAAAACAUCUUAAUCCUGAAACAAGCGCAGUACCUGGAUCAAGAUGAUUAAAAGUCUGACUCACUGUCUAAUUGUUGUAUCUGAGGUAUAAACAAUGAAUUAUCUUACUGACAAGUAUUACGGAAGGGCUUAUCCACUUAACAGCUUAUUGUUGUAACUAACAAGUGAAUUUUGCAGACUUAACCUCAACACCAACUGAUGGGAAAUUUUCCAACUCCUCUAAAAUUCCAAAUUCCACGAUUUGAGGCCUUUCAUUUCAUUACAGAUCAUUUAGAGCUAUUGUGUGAAGUGUCACAAAUUCAAAGUGAAUUACAAGUGAAUUUUCACAUUUUGAUUAGAUCCUCCUAAAGUUUAAAUUUUACUUUCAGGGUUUAUAUCCUGAAGUGAGAAUUAUUGAGAAUUAAAAGUAAAUAUGAAAUUUAUUCCCGUCAGUUUCCUCCUUUAGUAAAUUGUCUGCAAGUACAUUUUUAACGUUACGUUAAACUAGUCCGGGAAAUUAAACAUGGUUUAUUUACUCAAGUAUAAAUAAAAGUCUUAAGAAUUCAAAGUGAUUUUCAAAUUUAAGGUCACUUUGAAUUUAUGUUGAAUUCCUGACAAUUCUCAGUUUAGUACAUUUCACUGUGUGACUUUACUGUGUUUCUGACCAUUAACAUGUUCGAGUAAAUAACAUUGAUUGUUUAAUGAAUUUAGACCUUGCAGUUAAAACCACAGUACCAGAGGCAGGCUACUUACCCAUUCCCAAAAAUGUAACAACCACCAACCUACCUACUUAUGUCACGUAAGCUCCUAAUUUUAGUGUGCUCUCUUUCACACAAUGAAUACUCCACUUCCAACAUGCAUUAUUUCUGUAAUUCAAGUUCUUCCUGAUUCUCAAGCUGUAUUCACCUUUGUUCUUCUGUCAUCGUCUACAUUUACUGAAAUCCUGAAUUAUUCUGCAUUCUUCAUAUUAAGGGUAAGCUUUUACCUCUCCUCCCCCCCAAUGUUUUAUUAAAACUUUUUUUAUUUUUUUAUUUGGAUUAACACUUUAAUAUGGGAGAGAAAAAAUCCAUAUUGAUCCGUGAGAUUCUGAUAUAUCGAUUGACAUACCUUACUUUAUAGCAAGGCACUGUGGAAUUUAAACGUAUUAAUAUUUAUUACCUUGAUAGAAGCUAAUUCAUUCAAUAUCUUAAUAAUCUAUCUUAACUAUGUAUGCCAAAAAAGCCUCCCUUUCCUGCAUCAUAGGAGACUGUUAAAAAAAAAAAAUAUAUAUAUAUAUAGCAUGUCAGAAUGACUCAGCUUACUGGUUUCAAAGGAUUACAACAUUCUCUAUGAAUGAGACAAAAAUAUUCAACUUAGGUUCCAUUUACAUUUAGAAAGGCACAAUAUUACAUAUCUAAUGUAUGGGUUAGUAUAGCAUGCAUUGUGCGUACCUUCUAAGAGUACGUUCUGACCUGUUCAUGCAGUUAUUAUUAUUAUUAUUGGCAUUUAUAUAGCGUCAACAAAUUCUGUAGCACUUUACAAUAUUAGUUCUACCACAAAUCAAAAGACAUGUCUCAUUGAAUGCAGAUUUAAACUCACAUUGGUUUUGUUCAGAUAUAAGCACUAUAAACGUUUUUUUUCUUCUCAUUUUAAUGUUAUAGAACACCUCGCUUGUAAUCUCAUAGAAAGAGAUAACAUUUUAAUGUUAUUUACAUUGGUGUCAGGUGUAGGAUAAGGAGGUAUUAGUUUUGCCUGGCACUGCCACUGAGGGUACAUAGGACCAGAUCACUAGGCACAUCCUACCCAUUAUUCUUUUUGAUUAUAGCAUAAUAUACCAGCGAGGGGGAUUAGGAAUACCUGCCCCAUCCUGUCCUCAGAAAGAGUGAUGGUCAUCAGCAACUCUUGCCAAAUACAGUAAUUAUUUUACCCCUUGCACAUGAGGGGAGGAAGAACAUAUAUAUAUAUAUAUAUAUAUAUAUAUAUACACACUGCUCAAAAAAAAAAGGGAACACUUAAACAACACAAUGUAACUCCAAGUUAAUCACCCUUCUGUGAAAUCAAACUGUCCACUUAGGAAGCAACACUGAGUGACAAUCAAUUUCACAUGCUGUUGUGCAAAUGGGAUAGACAACAGGUGGAAAUUAUGGGCAAUUAGCAAGACACCCCCAAUAAAGGAGUGGUUCUGCAGGUGGUGACCACAGACCACUUCUCAGUUCCUAUUCUUUCUGGCUGAUGUUUUGGUCACUUUUGAAUGCUGGCGGUGCUUUCACUCUAGUGGUAGCAUGAGACGGAGUCUACAACUCACAGAAGUGGCUCAGGUAGUGCAGCUCAUCCAGGAUGGCACAUCAAUGCGAGCUGUGGCAAGAAGGUUUGCUGUGUCUGACAGCGUAGUGUCCAGAGCAUGGAGGCGCUACCAGGAGACAGGCCAGUACAUCAGGAGACGUGGAGGAGGCUGUAGGAGGGCAACAACCCAGUGCAAGGAGGAACAGGAGGAGCACUGCCAGAGCCCUGCAAAAUGACCUCCAGCAGGCCACAAAUGUGCAUGUGUCUGCUCAAAUGGUCAGAAACAGACUCCAUAAGGAUGGUAUGAGGGCCUGAUGUCCACAGGUGGGGGUUGUGCUUACAGCCCAACACCGUGCAGGACGUUUGGCAUUUGCCAGAGAACACCAAGAUUGGCAAAUUCGCCACUGGCGCCCUGUGCUCUUCACAGCUGAAAGCAGGUUCACACUGAGCACAUGUGACAGACGUGACAGAGUCUGGAGACGCCGUGGAGAACGUUCUGCUGUCUGCAACAUCCUCCAGCAUGACCAGUUUGGCAGUGGGUCAGUAAUGGUGUGGGGUGGCAUUUCUUUGGGGGGGCCGCACAGCCCUCCAUGUGCUCGCCAGAGGUAGCCUGACUGCCAUUAGGUACCGAGAUGAGAUCCUCAGACCCCUUGUGAGACCAUAUGCUGGUGCGGUUGGCUGGAGUAAGUCAGCAGUUCCUGCAAGAUGAAGGCAUUGAUGCUAUGGACUGGCCCACCCAUUCCCCAGACCUGAAUCCAAUUGAGCACAUCUGGGACAUCAUGUCUCGCUCCAUCCACCAACGUCACGUUGCACCACAGACUGUCCAGGAGUUGGCAGAUGCUUUAGUCCAGGUCUGGGCGUUGUAGGGAGGUCAUACAGGCACGUGGAGGUCACACACACUACUGAGCCUCAUUUUUACUUGUUUUAAGGACAUUACAUCAAAGUUGGAUCAGCCUGUAGUGUGUUUUUCCACUUUAAUUUUGAGUGUGACUCCAAAUCCAGACCUCUAUGGGUUGAAAAAUUUGAUUUCCAUUUUUAAAUUUUUGUGUGAUUUUGUUGUCAGCACAUUCAACUAUGUAAAGAACAAAGUAUUUCCAAAGAAUAUUUAAUUCAUUCAGAUCUAGGAUGUGUUCUUUUUGUGUUCCCUUUAUUUUUUUGAGCAGUGUAUAUAUAUCCAUCCCUGGUUAAUAAAGGGUCCUUGGGAUGCUUGUAUAUUUUUUGUCAUGUGAAUCCCCAUACACCGUUAUGCCUCCCAAGUGUCCCUAUUUUAGCCCCAUAUCCCUCUGUCCCUCUUCUUUAUCCUACUGUCCUCUUUUCUAGGACCUCCAUAUUGUUCGACUGUCAAAUCAUUGAAGUGGUCUUGGUGCUCGGAGUAAUCCUGUAAUUAUUGGAUUUUUAAAUUGUAAGGGGAUAAAAUGUUCAGUCACAGUGCAGGUAAUUGCUAAAGAAGACACCAGCCACAACAUUAAAACCACUGACAGAUAGACUGGGCGCCAGGAUCAUGCAGAGGCGAUUAGCCGUCAACCCUUGGUCUUGUCUCCUUUCUAGACCUACAGAGCAUCUAUCCAAACAUGAACAGAAACAGAUAACCCUGAUUUACUUAGCAAUCCGCAGGGCACUGUCUCAGAAAUGGAUAAGCCCGAUGUGGUGGACCGCCAGUAUAUCACCACCACGGAUUCCCUUUCCCAAAAUAACUUAGCUCCAACACUCAUCCAAGUAAAUAUCGCUGGUUUUGCCUUUCCCCCCCACACAUUAAUCGAGACUAAAUGCUAGGAGUAGAUCUGUUUAAUGCAGGCAAGCACUCUCAAUUUAUACAUACAGUAAACUUCUCCCCUGUGCCUGUCAGAUAAUUGAGUCUAGAAACUUACAUCUCAAUUAUCUCCCAGGUACAGAAAAAUAUAAAACAUUUUAAACACCCCAAAGGUACCCCCAAAAUCCAUGGAAACCCCUUAAGAGUUACAUCCCCAGAUAGCCCUGAUCUGAGUACUUAACAUAUCCAAAAAGCACUCAGAUUGGUUCAGUGGUUUGGAUUUUCCAUCGAGUUACACAAGGUAGAAGCCCAAAGGAGUUUCAACGAAAUCGUGGCAACGGCCGGUCUCAGUUCGAUGGUUUUUAUGUGGAAACCAUACAUAAUAUGCGUACACUUUUAGGUGUCGAAUGCUCCCCCAAUUCGGUAGUUAUAUAUAUCUCCCGAAUGCCGUUCCUAUAGGUUAUUGGGAACUUGUACAGGCAGCAGUUCCAUAUUCACCGGUGUUUGCGGGAGUGCCUAGCUGAAAUAAGUUCCAGGCACUCGACGACCAGGUACUGCUGCCUGCUUUCAGAAGACAAGAUGGCCACCAUCCAUUCUGUCGACCAUGUGCGUUCGGUAUACGAAAUGAAAAUGACCCAAGGGAGCCUCUUAGUAAUAGUUUCCAUUGCGGUUUUGCACUGUAUACUUUGGAUUCCACAUUCUAACUAGAUGUUGGGGUGGUCUUCAUUCGGGAAUCGAAGGGGAAUUUCAUAUGAACAAAUUAACAGGGGAAACGAUUACAACAGAACCAAGUGACAGGGCAUUCCUUUACACCCGGAAAUGUCACCACUCUCUUUAGUUAUUGCAAAGAUAAGGGACAAUUACUCAAAGUGAUGGGGCAUUCCUUCACAUUGAUCCCCCUUUGCCCAUGGCUCCGGCAGACACUGUUUGACCCUUUUCAGGUCAACUUGGGGAUGUCCGGGAAAUAAAUCAGUCUUUUGGGUUGGCUAGCUCGGUCUGGUGAGAUAACCUGUCUACGUCCCCAUUCUGUUUACCGGGUCUGUAGUGGAUGGUAAAAUCGUAUAGCUGCAGGGCUAGCCUCCACCUCAGGAGUCUGGCAUUGUCUCCAGUGACCCGGUUGAGCCAUACUAGUGGGUUGUGGUCGGUGAUGAGGGUGAAAGCUCAUACAUAAAGGUACAGUGUUCAUUUUUUCAGUGCCCACACCAGAGCUAGGCACUCCUUUUCAAUAGCAGCAUAGCUGACCUCUCUGGGUAAUAACUUCCAACUCAGGUAGACCACUGGAUGCUCUCCCCCGUCCUCACCGACUUAGCUUAAAACUGCACCCAGUCCAAGCAUGGAAGUGUCUGUAUGGACGAUAAAACGUUUGUUAGGAUCUGGGGCAUCUAGGACAGGGACAUUGAUAAGAGCAUGUUUUAAGGCUUGGAACACUGUCUUACAUUCUGGGGACCACAGGACAUUCCUAGGUAAGUUCUUUUUGGUUAAGUCAGUCAGGGGCUUGGCUAUAGCACUAUAUUCUGGGCCAAAAUGUGUAUAGUAGCUGGCUGUCUCCAGGAAAGCCAUGACUUGUGUCUUGGUAAGGGGAGUGGGUCGGUUAGCAACGGCCUCAAUCUUGGCAAGUUCAGGCAAUUGCUUUCCACAUCCUACACGGUGGCCCAGAUACUGUAUCUCCGCCAUACCAAUAUAACACUUGUCUGGUUUCAAGGUUAGGCUGGCCUCUCUAAUCCUAUCUCGUACGUCACUAUAUGCUCUAAGUGAGCCAUCCAGGUGUCACUGUAAAUGGCUAUGUCAUCAAGGUAUGCACACGCAUAAUCCUGGAGACCAUCUAACAGGCGCUCUACCAUCCUUUGAAAGGUGGCUGGGGCAUUCUUCAUCCCGAACGGCAUAACCCUGAACUGGAAUAAGCCAAACGGGGUGACAAAGGCUGAUUUGGAGAUAGCCUCUUCUGCUAGGGGAAUCUGCCAAUACUUUGCACAGGUCAAUGGUAGUCAGAUAUCAUCCUCUAGCGAUAUGAUCUACCCUAGGCAUGGGGUAGGCGUUGGUGACUGUCUUAUCACCAGGGGCACUCUGAGGGUUCGAUGACCCCUAAGCGCAUCAUCUCGUCGAUUUCCUUCCGCAUUCCUUCCCGGACUGCCUCGGGGAUGCGAUAUGGGGGCUGAUGUAAUGGGGUCUAGCCUUGGGUGUUUACUCUAUGGGUAGCUAGGAUUGUGUAUCCAGGUUAGUGGGAGAACGUGGCCUGUUUGGUUUCCAGCAGGCGGAUGGCUUGAGCCAGUUACUGGGUCUCUAGUAUGCCUUGCUGUACUAACUCUAUGGCCCCUACUCCAGGGUCAUCUCCUAAUAGGUCUCGUAGUGGUAGGGCCUCGAGGUCUUCUGAGGCUUCUGCAGCUACAUCUUCCUCUCUGCCCAUGUACUCUUUAAGCAUGUUAAUGUGAAACAUCCGUUUCACUUGCUCAUUCUCACAGCUGGUUACUGUGUAAGUAGUGUCGCACACUUGCCCAAUCACCUUGUAAUGUCCCUGCCAUGCCGCCUGUAGUUUAUCAUGUAGUUAACCAUAACUUUUUAUCCAACCUGAAAACUACGGUGCCUGGCAGUCGGGUCAAACCGAACUAGGGGAAUUUCGUAUGAACAAACGAACAGGGAAAACUAUUACAAUCGAACCAAAUGGUGGGGCAUUCCUUCACACCUAGAAAUGCCACCACUCUCUUUAGUUAUAGCAAAGAUAAGAUCAACUACUCAAUGGACAAAUUAACGUUUGAAACUCUACUAAGACUUUUCAAAAAGUGACUUAUGGGACUUAAGGCAACAAUUUGAUGUGUGUCAAGUUCGUGCAUUUCAUUCACCCCAAUUAUUGGCAAGGGGAGAAAUGAAGGGGGCAAGUUUAGGAAGAGCUCCAUCUUCUUGUGUCGUGGGUUUAUUUUGUUGUUCCUUUUGUUUUAUUUUCUUGAUUGUUCUUUUCAUGUCAUUGUGCCAUGCUUGAUAUCACGGAGUGCAUGUUGCCAAGUUACACUUAUUGUACUAUUUGAUUACAUGCCUAAUUUUGAAAAUCCAAGGUUUACAUACACACUUCUCUCUAUUCACAACUGAUAUUAUGAUCUAUUAACGUCUAACUUAUUGGGUAUCUCAAACUGGCAUACCUGUACUGUAACAUAUCAGUUGUACUUUGUGACAUGGCAUUGUGCCAUUUUAUGGUUUCUUUUUAAUGUAAAAUUCCUAUUGGCCAACACAGACUUACAUUACUGAAUGUAUGUUUUAAGCUACUUGCUUGCCUUUAAAUAAAGAAUUUAACAAAAAAAACAAAACAGAAAAAUAUUGACAGGUGAAGUGAAUACCAUUGAUGGCAUUGUUACAAUGGCACCAGUCAAGGGGUGAUAUAAAUGUUGAGCAGCAAAUGAACAGUCAGUUCUUGAAUUUCAUGUGUUGAAAGCAGGAAAUAUGGGCAAGCGAAAAGAUCUGACUGCUUGUGACAAGGGCCAUAUAGGGAUGGCUAGAUGACUGGGUCAGAGCAUCUCCAAAACGUCAAAUCUUAUGGGGUGUUCUCAGUAUACAACCAUCUUCCUAAAGCUCAUGUAUAAGUGUGUUUUCCAUAGCUCUGGUAUAUACACUAUAUAUAGUGACUUUUUAAUACACUUGCGCUAUUGUAUGUAUAUUGUUUUGAAGGUUCAAGGAUCUGUAUAGAAGAUAUAUAUUAAUUUGUGUCGACACAAUAUUCUCGUCCGGCACGAUUUUUUGUGUAAUAUAGAAUUAUUUUGCACAGUGCUCUGUAAGCACUUGGUAUGCACUUUGUGUAAGAUUUAAAAAAAUAAAUAAAAAGUUUUAUACACACACACCAUAUAAAAAUGUUUUGUCACAGUUUUUGAAUUUUUAAAAAAAAUUAUUAUUGAUUUUAUGUUUUAAGGUGGCAUGAUAAACAAGUGAUCCGCUCAUAUUUAGUUUUUGGGUUAUUUAUUGUGAAAGUAUAAGAGAACGCAUUGCAUGUUUGUAAGCAGCUAAAGGGAUAGAAAAAAAAAAAGAAACAAAAUUUGAAAGUAAAAAUAUAUUCUUGGGUGGAUACAGUGCUUUGCUGGUUAUUAAGUCUAUAUAUGUUUGGGAUAACACUUUCCGUCUGGAGGUCAUGGAGGGGAUGGGCAUAAAAAUGGGUACGAUAAAUUAGUCUAACAAAUGUGGUUAUGAUGGACUGGGACAGAAAGAAUGGACAUUUAAUUGAAUUUAACAAUGAGCUUGGUCAAUAAGAGCAGUUCCACAAAAAAUAUUAGACUGGCCCCACAGUAAUACUGAUUAUUUUAUAGGAAAAGCAACAAAUAAGUGGUUAACUAAAGGAACAGGACUUUAGUGGAGUCAAACAAAUUCCAUAUAUCAGAAACAAAAAAAAAACUGUACAAAAUAAGUCACAUACUACCUUGUGAAUAAGAUAACAUACAAAAACAAAAACACAACAAAUAAACAUACUUUGAGAAAAUCAACUAACGUAGAAACAUAGAAUGUGAUGGCAGAUAAGAACCAUUCGGCCCAUCUAGUCUGCCCAAUUUUCUAAAUACUCUCAUUAGUCCCUAGCCUUAUCUUAUAGCUAGGAUAGCCUUACGCCUAUCCCACGCAUGCUUAAACUCCUUUACUGUGUUAACCUCUACCACUUCAGCUGGAAGGCUAUUCCAUGCAUCCACUACCCUCUCAGUAAAGUAAUACUUCCUGAUAUUAUUUUUAAACCUUUGUCCCUCUAAUUUAAGACUAUGUCCUCUUGUUGUUAUAGUUUUUCUUCUUUUAAAUAUAGUCUCCUCCUUUACUGUGUUGAUUCCCUUUAUUUAUUUAAAUGUUUCUAUCAUCUCCCCCGUCUCAUCUUUCCUUCAAGCUAUACAUGUUGAGAGUAUUUAAGUGAGAAUGUUAGACAUUGACUAUAAUAUUAUAUUCAUCUUACAAAACCAAGAUCACCUACUUGAUUUGAUACAAUAUCAAAGGGAUAAAUAAAUCUUCAAUAAUGCCAAUUUUCCUACAUACAGAUUAAACGACAAGAAACCAGCUGGAAAGCAUAAGAAUGCACUAUAGCAAUGACUUUGCAGUAAUUCUUAGAUAUAUUGAAAGAUCUCUCGUUAACAAGUAAUUAUUGAUUCAUUGACACUGAAGUGAAUGAUGCAACAUUUCAUUAAUAGAUACAAACAGUCAAUAUUCCUGUUAAGGAGUAGGAAUGAGAUUUAGUUCUAAGAAAGCUCAUUACAGAUUAGAAGACUUGCUUUAUGCAGGUGGGUAAGACUGCUGGUCAUAUGAGCUUGGUUAUCCUACUGUGUGCACUGCUCAAUGACAGCAUUCAUACACUAAGAUUCACAUUUCCAUCAUCCAGAGAACAUUGAAUGUGUAAAACAUAGGUAGGACUAAUAUGUCUUACUUGACAACUAGAUACAAUAUUUGUAAAGUAUAUAAUAGUAUAUUAGUGAUUAUUUAUUGCCAUUACUGAAUGUCCCACAGCUUUAACAAAUUAUAUAAUUUCGAACUCACCAGAUAAAGGCAGAUGUCAUGCAUAACUUGUUUCCCUUAAAUUAAUUUUUUUUUAGGACUUUAUCUGAUACAAACCCAAAACUGGUUUUAAGGCUCAUUCAACACAUGUAAAGGCUGUAGUAUUUAUUGCUGAAGAGUUUUGUUAAUAAACACUCCUUAAGGCAAUAGAAAAAAAAAUAACCGAUUACGAAUUUAUGAAUGCCUUCACAAUCUCUUAACUCCUUCCAGUGCGCCCACGUGGUGUAGUACCAGAAGCAUGACUCCUUUCCAGCAGAUCGGUAAAUCCCACGCCGGAUGCUGGGAUCACGCCCCUUCUUAUGAUGCAACGCAUGCGCAUCAACGUCAUUACAUUGGCAUUUGCGUAAUUUUCACCGACCCAGAAUGUUUUGGGGGCAGGGCCGUAAAAAAGCUAAAGUCACUCUUAUAUUUUUAAAAAGUGUGCUUUUUGCUUUGUACUUUGCCCUAUUGUGGUCCUUAAAGUUCCCUCUAGUACUGCUCUUUGACUAUUAGUGCUUUCUUGGUAUUUUUGACCCUGCUUGGUAAUUGACUAUUCUAUUCUCUGGUUUCCUGACUCAGCUUGUGCCUUUCUGGUGUCUUGACCCGGCUAUUCCUUAAUCGCUCUCCUGAUUUCUGGCAUCCUUAUAAUUUUUUCUGUCAUAUGUCUUGACCCGGCUAUUCCUUAAUCGCUCUCCUGAUUUCUGGCAUCCUUAUAAUUUUUUCUGUCAUAUGUUAAGUCCGAUCAUACUAAGGUUCGGUAAUACGUUCUUUGUAUACUGUGGGGUUACACACUGCGUGUUGAGGUUUACUUAACCAUGACAAUGUCGUAAGAAGUUACAUAGCUGAAAAGAGACUUGCGUCCAUCAAGUUCAGCCUUCCUAAGUUAUAAACAUUAAAACCAUAGAUCCAAGUUCCCUUCUGGGAGUCAUCAGGCUGCCAGAAGGCUUUGCAUAAGAACACCUGUGUCUAUUCUAAUCAUAGAUCAUAAAUGAAAAAUUACUACAGCAAUUCCAAUUUUAACUCCAACAUUACAUCACCUCCCUGAAGAAACACUGAAACCCAUUCUGAUCACAGAUAUCCUUCAAAAAAAAUAUACAUGGCAUCUUCUCAAACAACACAUUACCUUCUCUCAUUCUUCUCUCAGCUCCCUUUACCCCGGCUGGGUACCUCUGCCAAAGACCACUUCCUAGCUGAAACCAGGGAAAAUCUCAGAGCUUCUGCCCCAGCUGCCGCGGCUUGACUGGGUCCUCCUGGAGCCUCUCCGCCCUGAAGCAGGAUAGGGGACUAGCUAGCUCUAUUCCCUCCCAGGGACUGGACGACACACAGUCCUGGGAGCCGUAGUCCUUAUAAGGACUUUUCCCCCUGAAUCCUCCACUAGCUGGAACAAGGUGUUGAGCAGUGAUUAGCCCUUUUCCCUCACAGUAACUAGAUGACACAUGGCUCUGGCAGUACAACUGACUUUAAUGAGAGAAACUCUGCCUUUUAUACACAGACCCAGGAAGGGGGUCUCCAUUGUAUUCAGCACAAGUGCCUCCCAGGAUGCGUUAAAAACCAGUAAGCAAAUUAUUUCCCAGGAACAGAGAGGCAAACACAAAAGCAUAAAACAUAAGAAUACCCCAAAACAUCAUAAAAACAUACAAUAACCACACAAAUAAUACAUUCUUAAAUAGCCCUGAUCUGUGUGCUGAAUUCUAUAAAUAGCGCUCAGAUCCAUGCAAUGUAAGGGAAACUCCACCGUGUUAAAAUUCUGACCGGCCGCACACGUGUUCCUAUAACCAAAAUAGUUCCAGGGCAUUUGGUGCUAUUGCCGGUCAACUUUCGGGAGUCUCUGCGGCCGCAAAACAGGCUGCUCCGUCUGGCUUUCAGGUAGCUUUUGUUCCCCUUCGUCUCAGGCACCUUUCCAUCAAAAGCGUAAUUCAAAUUUGUCCGGAAACCACAGGGACACCUCAUGUUGAAAACAGUUCCAUAACAUUUGUGACAAGUACUGCUGAGGUGACCGGUAGCCCACAAAGUCCUCAUGCCAAAAUUUGUUCUAUAGCAGUUGCGGCUAAGUACCGCUGAGGACUAUUCGUGGGUUUCAUUCAUUUGAAUGGCCGCCAGGGAGCUAGCAGUUAGUUCCAUUCCAAUGAAUGGAAAGUGCCGAACCAGGGGCACCCAGGGAAAGCGUUUAACGGUGGCUGGGCAGGGUAACGCCCAAACGGUGUCCCAGACCUGGACCAUAAUCGUGGGCAGAAGGCCAGCUUCCACACUCCUCCAGGAGUUCAUGGCAAACAUAUGUGGGAAGGAGCGUUUGUCACAACUCCAUACUCACACCACCUUCUACCUCACCCCUUCCAUUUUUACAAAAUAUUUGAAAGACACCAAGAACAUCCAAAUCACACCUGAACAGUGGCACAGGCUUUUUCUCCUCACCACAAAAGUGCUGUCCCCAGUAAAAAUAUCAAGAAAUGUCAUACAAGGUCCUAAUGUGCUGACAUAGGACACCACACAAACUCCACCAAAUACUAGUCCUCACCACUUACGAUGCAGCCCAUCUGUGUACAUAACAUGUACUUUGGGGUAAGCAGUGCACAUGGAUGUUUAAAUUUGUGACUGUGCAUCCAAUGCUAGAUGAUACAUUUUUUCUUUAAUAUGAAUAGGUUUAGGAUCUUUAAUAUGACACGGCACGUAUGUUUGGGGUCUGUUGGAGUGCCGAAUAUUGUGGUCCCUGAAUGCCGAGGGCAGAGAAAGAGGGGCUUGAAUUGACCGACCAGAGCUGAAAGAACUGAACGAGCACUGGAGCGUCUGCUGUGAUUGACCGGAUAUCCGAGGGUGACUCGUGGUGAAAACCCCUACAAAAACGGACUGACUAUAACUAAUGAGAAGAUUAAACUGAGAUCUGAGGGGGGCUUCUUGCUGCCUGUAUGACCGACCGGAGAUUCACCACUAAAACCAUGUAAGACAAGCUUGGCUGUUGUAUAUCAGUGGGCAAGUUGACUGUUGCUUGAGAGGAGGUCUAAUUGAGACCUGUGCAAGGCUCCAUGUAUGCCAGUUAAGUGUCUGUGGAGGUAGCUAUAUACAGCUUGACAAUUAAAAAAUACGCCGUUUCACUGUUUAAAAAACACGUCGUAUCACUGUAUCACAAAAAAACAGCUUAUAAUAGGCUGAAUACCUCAAGAUAUAAAAUUUAUAAACCUAAUUCCGAAUUAGAAAUUUGAUUGUCAUAGAAUUGUCAUAUAAUUAAAUAACAAAAGAGUAACAAAGGCAAGUGACUAAUUAAAGAGAGUGGAGGAAGGGGGAACGGAAAGUUAAAAAGCCACAAGAUUAGAGAGAUUGCUUGAAAAAGGAUAUGAAAAAAGAGAAAGAGGAUAGAGGGGAAUUUUUUUUUUUUUUUAACAAGUUCCUUCCAUUAUCUGAAUUUAAAAUCUUGUGUCUAAAAUGGCUCCAAAAGGAGAUAAAACUGAAAAAAAAACGGAGAAAAUAACGAACACUACUAAACAAAAUAAAUCACAAACUCUUAGCAACUUUUAUUCCCCUAAAAGCCAAAUGAAUAUGUCCACACUAUCAAAAAAAUCAUCUUCUGAAAAAUGUAUGGAAACAAGCUCAUCUAAGCAUACACCUGAGCAUUUGGGUUACAUCACUCAAGCAAGCCUUGUUGCUGCAUUAGAAUCAUUAUACGAUAAAAUUAAAUCAGAUCUUGAAAAAAAUCUAUCAGAUUAUAAAGAAGAAAUGGUUCAACUAAGAGACUCCUUAUUAAAACAAUCUCAGGAAAUUGCAGCAUUAUAUCAAAAGUUGAAUGAUAUUCAAAUCCAAAAUGAUUUGCUAAAAGCAGAUAAUAUUAAAAUGGAUACGAAUCUGGCUGAUCUCAAAGAUAGCUCUCGAAGAUAAAACCUGAAAAUGAUCAACAGAAGAAAUUGUGAACCUCAAAGAAUAUCUGAUGGAACUAUUAGCUGUUUUCCUGGACCCAAAAGUAUAUGGCCCAAUACUUAUAGAAAGAAUGCAUAGACUACCGAAGCCAAGUAAUCGAACUCAAUCAAACAGACCUAGAGUUGUGAUAAUCUGCUUUGCCAAUUGUAGAAUUAAAGAGAUGCUGACCAGAGUGAUGAGGAAAAACCCAUCAAAGAAUCCAAAAUUCCAAACGCUGUCUACCUUUACGGAUCUCUCAUUAACAACGAGAUUAAACAGAAAGAAAUAUCAGGAACUCACAGCAAGUCUACGUAAAAAUUACAUUCCUUACUUAUGGGAUUUUCCUACUAAACUACGUAUCUCAUAUAAAGAGAGAACCUUUAUAUGUUCGGACCCUCAGCAAGUCAAAGAUAAACUAACGGCAUGGGGCCUAAAAUUAUAAUCAAGAAUUCUUUUUUUUAAAUUGAGGAUACAAGUAUGAUAGAGAUAUUAUCUGACCUGUCUAAUGCAUGGUAUAGAAUUAUGAACACUUGAUAAAUUAGUAAUUAAUAAUCACCAUCACAAAACAGAAGCUGUAUAUAAUUUUUAUAUAGACACUACAUAAUAUGAUAUUUCUCUUAGAGAUUGAAAUUCAUAGUCACAGAAUAGACAGCAUACAAUAAUUAAACAACAUAAAUUAGAUUUUUAUAAUUAUCUAGAAAAUAAAUCAAGAGGUGUUUGAUAGAGGAGGUGAUGUAAUCAUUAUGGAUUUUUUUCUCAUUUUUCUUUUUUUGUUUGUUUGUUUCUGAAUAGUCCUAAUUAAACAAUAUGGAAAGCACUAUUUGACCCUUUUGGGAUAUAUGUAUGCUAGAGUAUUCAACAGAUUCGUCUAAUGCACUGAAUAGAAAAUUUGAACACUUGAUAAAAAAGAUAAUUGAUGAUCACCAGCACAGGAUGGAAGUUGCAUAAUAUUUAAGCAACAUAAAACAUUAGUUACUAUAAUCUUCUAGAUAAAAAUAUAGGAAGUGUGCUAGUUUUCUCUGACACAAAAUAGCCUCUUUACACAUUUGAUUAUAAAUAAUAAGGAAAGCACUAUACACUAAUUAUCUAUUCUAUUUAUGCUUCUAUAUAAUUGUAGGUUUUUGUUUUUUUCUCUGUGAUAGACUUAUCAUUGAUAAUUUUAGAAUCAAAUAUAUUUUUAAAGAGUAAAUGGCACUUCGACAGACCCUGAUAGUACAAGGAUUUUUUUUCUUUUUCUUGUGAUGUAUUUCUGCACAGCAAUGACGGAAGAUUAAGUAUAAAUGAGUUUUGUAUGAAUGUUUUCGUAUAUGUUUUUCUUUAUUUUUUUUUAGUCCAUUGGAUUGCUCUCUGGUGUCUCAGGAUGUGAGUUUUUUUUUUUUUUUAUAAAAUAGGAGGCCUGGAGGUGAAGUCAAGGGUGUUUGAUUUCUCUUAAACUGGUUACUCGCAGGGACUGAAUUCUCCAUACAAAAAAGAGCAUUUUCACAUGAUCUACUUGUUAAAGACAAUAUUGAUGUGGCUCUAAUACAAAAGACACACUGGAAACUAAAUCAAUCUCUAUUGUGGAAAUACAGUAGAUUCCUAUAUAUAUGUAUAUAUACACACACACACAUACAUAUACAUCUUCAUUAAUAGAAAAAAAGAAAGCAGGUGUCACUGUGAUUGUAAUAAAAUAAAAUAAAAUUUAAGUUAUACUUCAUGAUUCAGAUAAUGAAGGUAUAUAAGAUAUAUAAUUUUGAUUUGUCGUAUAAAUGACAUUAUGUAUACCCUUCUUAGUUUAUAUGCACCAUCUAAUUACUCAAAAUUUCUAAAUCAUUCUAUUGAAAUUAUAGAGAAAAUGUCUAAAGGUUUAUUGGUGAUCUAAAUAGUAUUUGUGAUUUUGACAAAGAUAGGAAGUCAGAUAAGUUAAUCAAAGAUCGCAAAAACGAAAAUAAUACUAUAACCAAGGCUGAAAUAUUUUCAAAUUCUCUUUUUUUUUUUAAGACAAUUUUUUAUUGGUUUUCAAGUAUAUGGGGUACAGAAGAGAGAAGGGAGUUAUAAGGGUAACAAUGGAAAAAAUGCCGACAAUAUGAUGAUGCACAAGAAUUGUUGGCAAGAUUAUCGACAAUGACAUUCUGGGUUUUGUAGGCAGACUAUAUCCAUAACAUCAUUACACCUAAUACAUGUAUAAGUAAGGUUACAUAGUAUAGUUUUACACUCUCGUAACGUCUGCCUGUUGUUAUGCGUUUGUGGGCAAAGCAGUCUGGUUUAGAAGGAGGGUUGGUUCUCUAUGCACGGUGUUGCGUGUCGGUACAGUCUGUUAAGCCAUACAUAACGGUCUUAGGGUGGGUUUUGGGGAUUUGUGGCUUGGUUGUAUAAGUAUGUCCACUGUUUCCACGUUGAGUGGAACUGCUGUGAUUCUAUACUAUGGGUCAUCGUCAUUCGUUCAUAGACAUGGUAUUGUUGAAUCUUGUCCCAUAGUUGUAAUUUAGAUGGGCAUAUGUGCGACUUCCAGUUCGUCGCUAGAAGGUUCCUGGCCGCUAAUAAUGUGAUGGCACAUACCUGUCUGUGUUCUCUAGCGAGAUCACUGGGGAGCAUAAGCAUGAGGUAUGUUUGCGGGCUUGGCAGUAAGUUUGCUAUGCCCAGCCUACCCAGCAAUCUCCUAACCUCUGUCCAGAGGGGUUGAAUCACCGGGCAUGUCCACCAUAUGUGAAGGAAUGUACCAGUGUCUCUUGAACACCUCCAGCAUGUUGGUAAUACACUGGGGUAUAUUUUAUGCAACCGAAUUGGCGUCAUAUACCACCUAUAGAGUAGCUUCCUAUGGGCUUCUAUGUGCGUGUAACAUCUAGUGAGUUUUGAGAGGCUAUUUAGGGCUCUUACCCAAUCUUCCUCUGAGAGUUGAAGGGAGCAGUCUUCCUCCCAUUUAGUCCUACAGAGGGGGAUGUGCUGUGGUAAUGUGGUUUCCCACAUUUUGUAGCAGAGGGAGAUGGCUUUUGGUUUGCUUGGUGUGGCCCAACAUCUGUCUAAGAUCCCGCCCACUAAUAGUGAUUGCUCCCGAGUACUGUUGUGCAGGUUCACAUGAGUCAUUAUGGUCCCUUUGAGUCUUAGGUAGGUAAAUACUUCACUCAUCGGUAGGUGCCAUUUGGCCUGUAUAUCCGCGAAUGCUAUUACACCCUUAUUGUCUAAUAAGUGUUGGACGUUGGUGAUUCCUGCCUUAGCCCACCUUGUUAGAGGGAGGUCAAGGGAUGCGGUUCCUAAGGCAGUCAGUGGUGCCCGGGUAUGGAAGGAGAGUUUGCACCCCAUUGUUGCCAUAAAUGUGUCCCAUACGUUAAGCGUCAGAGACGUUGUGUGAAAUAGGUCUAGUUUAGGGGUCCGUAGGUGUUUAGGCGUCCAUAGGACGUCAACUAUAUUUAAUGCUUGUAGUUGGGCAUUCUCCAUAUCUACCCAGUUGAUGUCCCCUUUAGGAGAGUGUAGCAUUAUGCCAGCUGUUAACGCUGUCGCCUUAUAAUAUUGGUUAAUGUUUGGUAGUCCCACUCCACCUUGUUUGACCUCGGUAUACAGAAGUCUAUUAGGGAUCCUGGGCUUUUUAUUGUCCCAUAUAAAGGUGUUGCAUGUGUUUUGUAAGCUCUUUAGCAGAGGUUGUGAUACUUUGAGAGGGAGCAUACGGAAAACAUAAAGAAUUUUGGGUAGUAUAGACAUUUUGAAGGCAUUAAUCCUUCCUAGCCAGGAUAGGUGUGUGUGUUUCCAUUUUAGGGUUUCCGCCCUGCACGUUUGUGGUAAGGUUAGGUAGUUUAAUUUUACAGUUUUAGCUAUGGAUGUUGCUAUUUUGACUCCUAGGUAUGUAAGGGAGGAGAGUCUCCAGUCAAAUUGAUGUUGUCGUUGUAGUGUCUGUGUGCGUUCCAGUGGUAGGUUAACCGUCAGUGCUUGAGUUUUAUCUUGAUUAAGUUUAUAGUGGGAAACUAAGCCAAAGUCGGUAAGGGUGUUCAUUAGGUGUGGUAAGGACUUCUCCGGGUCUGUCAAUGACACCAAAACGUCAUCGGCAAACAAUGCCAGUUUGUGUUCCUGGCCUGUCAUGAUAACUCCUCUUAUGUCAGAACUCGUACGAAUCUUAAGCGCCAGAGGUUCCAAUGAUAGAAUGUAGAGGAGGGGGGCCUUGGCGCAUCCCAUUAGUGAUGGAGAAUUUUUCAGAUGUGAAACCUCCAUUGGAGACCUUAGCCGCAGGUGCGCUAUAUAGUGCUUCUAUCCCCCUAAUCAUUUCGGACGGGAAUCCAUACCUCCCCAAGACUUCAGACAUGUACUUCCAAUUGAGGCGGUCGAAGGCCUUCUCUGCAUCUAGCGCCAGGAGAAGGCCCCCUGUGCUAUUGUUUUCCAUAUGUGUCAGUAUGUUGAGGAUUCGUCUGGUGUUGUCUGAACCCUGCCGCGUCGUUGUGUACCAAGUGUCUGAGGAGUGGUGCUAUUCUGUUACUAAGUAUCUUGGCAUAGAUUUUAGCAUCCCCAUUUAGUAAGGAGAUAGGUCUGAAAUUUUUACAGUGUGUCGGUGGUUUCCCUGGCUUGGGGAGGGUGGAUAUAUGUGCCAGGAGUACUUCUGCCGGUAGGGCUCCUCUGUCAUUGCUUUGUCUGUACAGUUUCAACAAGUAUGGGGAAAGAGUAUUCACAAACAAUUUGUAAUAGGCAUUGGUGAGACCGUCGGGUCCAGGUGAUUUGUCAAUGGGUAAUUUUUUGAUCACCGAAGUGAUCUCCUCUAAGGAAAUAGGCUGUCGUAAUGACUGUAUUGCGGUCGGUGUCAGGGAGGGCAAGCAAAGGUUCUGUAGGAAUCCGUCUAUGUCCGCUACGGUCGGGACCUUAGUAGCACCAUCGUCACGUAGGUUGUACAGCUGACGGUAAUAAUCUGCAAACAUAUUAACAAUUUCCCGUGGGUCAAUGAUUUUGUGACCCUUUCCAUCUUUGAGGUAGGCAAUCCUGGAGGCGAUCGUUUUUUGUUUCAAUUGCGCUGCUAGUUUAGCGCCAGCUCUAUUCCCUGCCGCGAAGAAUUUGUGUUUUGAUUUUCGGAAGAGGUGGGUUGUUUUGGUUAAUUCUAUAUCUCGUAAUUGUGUUUGUAAGCUCAAAAGCUUCCGUUGUAGCUCUGGGGUGGGUGUGUGUUUGUUACUGUGUGUGAUGUGUUUGAUCUCAUUGAUAAGGGCUAGGUAUUGUGCCUUUUGCGUCUUGCAAGCAUGACUGGCGUGCUUUAUGAAGCUGCCUCUAAUAACUGCCUUGUGGGCUAGCCAGACAUAGUCCGGAUCAGUGUUCUGCUUAUCAUUGUCCGCAAAGUAGUUUUGCAGGUCCCGUGUGACUUGCUGGACUAUAUGUGUGUUCGUCAACAAAGUGUUGUUUAACCUCCAAGUCAUCUGGCCAGUCUGAGGGAACCGGUCCUUGAGUGUUAACGUGAUCGGUGCGUGGUCGGACCAUGUGAUAUCCCCGAUGGUAGUGUCUAGUAUCUUAAGGAGGGAAGUAGAUCUAACCAGGAACCUAUCUAUUCUGGAGUAGCUAUUGUGUACCGCCGUAUGGCAUGUGUAGUCAGUUUCAUUGGGGUGUGUAAUUCUCCAAGGGUCUACGUAAUCAUGUGUUGCUAGGAUAUCGCAUAUGUUAUGCGAUUGUGCGAGCCGUCUCUUAGAGGUGUUGGGUGCUAUUGUAUGUGAGGCCGAGGAGUCUUUAAUGCUAUCCAGAAGAAAGUUGGUGUCACCUCCAAAUAUUACCUCCCCAAAGCUGUACAUAUUCAACAAGGCAAAUAUUCGGUGCAGAAACACUUCUUGGUUAUCAUUGGGCCCAUAUAUACAGGGAGUGCAGAAUUAUUAGGCAAAUGAGUAUUUUGACCACAUCAUCCUCUUUAUGCAUGUUGUCUUACUCCAAGCUGUAUAGGCUCGAAAGCCUACUACCAAUUAAGCAUAUUAGGUGAUGUGCAUCUCUGUAAUGAGAAGGGGUGUGGUCUAAUGACAUCAACACCCUAUCAGGUGUGCAUAAUUAUUAGGCAACUUCCUUUCCUUUGGCAAAAUGGGUCAAAAGAAGGACUUGACAGGCUCAGAAAAGUCAAAAAUAGUGAGAUAUCUUGCAGAGGGAUGCAGCACUCUUAAAAUUGCAAAGCUUCUGAAGCGUGAUCAUCGAACAAUCAAGCAUUUCAUUCAAAAUAGUCAACAGGGUCGCAAGAAGCGUGUGGAAAAACCAAAGCGCAAAAUAACUGCCCAUGAACUGAGAAAAGUCAAGCGUGCAGCUGCCACGAUGCCACUUGCCACCAGUUUGGCCAUAUUUCAGAGCUGCAACAUCACUGGAGUGCCCAAAAGCACAAGGUGUACAAUACUCAGAGACAUGGCCAAGGUAAGAAAGGCUGAAAGACGACCACCACUGAACAAGACACACAAGCUGAAACGUCAAGACUGGGCCAAGAAAUAUCUCAAGACUGAUUUUUCUAAGGUUUUAUGGACUGAUGAAAUGAGAGUGAGUCUUGAUGGGCCAGAUGGAUAGGCCCGUGGCUGGAUUGGUAAAGGGCAGAGAGCUCCAGUCCGACUCAGACGCCAGCAAGGUGGAGGUGGAGUACUGGUUUGGGCUGGUAUCAUCAAAGAUGAGCUUGUGGGGCCUUUUUGGGUUGAGUAUGGAGUCAAGCUCAACUCCCAGUCCUACUGCCAGUUCCUGGAAGACACCUUCUUCAAGCAGUGGUACAGGAAGAAGUCUGCAUCCUUCAAGAAAAACAUGAUUUUCAUGCAGGACAAUGCUCCAUCACACGCGUCCAAGUACUCCACAGCGUGGCUGGCAAGAAAGGGUAUAAAAGAAGAAAAUCUAAUGACAUGGCCUCCUUGUUCACCUGAUCUGAACCCCAUUGAGAACCUGUGGUCAUCAUCAAAUGUGAGAUUUACAAGGAGGGAAAACAGUACACCUCUCUGAACAGUGUCUGGGAGGCUGUAGUUGCUGCUGCACGCAAUGUUGAUGGUGAACAGAUCAAAACACUGACAGAAUCCAUGGAUAGCAGGCUUUUGAGUGUCCUUGCAAAGAAAGGUGGCUAUAUUGGUCACUGAUUUGUUUUUGUUUUUGAAUGUCAGAAAUGUAUAUUUGUGAAUGUUGAGAUGUUAUAUUGGUUUCACUGGUAAUAAAUAAUUGAAAUGGGUAUAUAUUUGUUUUUUGUUAAGUUGCCUAAUACUUAUGCACAGUAAUAGUCACCUGCACACACAGAUAUCCCCCUAACAUAGCUAUAACUAAAAACAAACUAAAAACUACUUCCAAAAAUAUUCAGCUUUGAUAUUAAUGAGUUUUUUGGGUUCAUUGAGAACAUGGUUGUUGUUCAAUAAUAAAAUUAAUCCUCAAAAAUACAACUUGCCUAAUAAUUCUGCACUCCCUGUAUUCAUUAAUGUAAAGGGGUUGUUGUUAAGAUGGCACUGAAUGAUGAGAUAUCUACCUUUCCUAUCGCUGAUCUUGCGGACCAGCUCGAAGGUGACGUUUCUACUUAUUAAAAUGGAGACUCCUCUUUUUUUUGUGGAGCAGCAGGAGUGGUGAUCAAUCGGGAACCAGGGGGAGUUAAAUCUGGGCCGUGAGCCCCAUUUAAAAUGGGUUUCCUGGAAGAAAGCUACCUGCGCCUUAAGUUUUUUGGCUUCUAAAAGUACCAGUCGUCGUUUAUGGGGCGUGUUCAGCCCUUUGGCGUUGAGAGAAAGUACAGUGAUCGACAUCACUCCAGCUAUAAUUAGGUGGGUGGGAAUGUAUAUGGCUAUGCCGUACUACUCAGCCCCUUUUGUCACCUUACUUCGUCGAUAUCGUGGGUAGGGUUGGGAGAGGUGUGGUAGGGUAUCAACGUACAACAGUACAACUUGAACUAUAUACAAAACCCGUUAGCCGGGUGGCUUAACGCAGAGGUCUGCCGACGGGUAAUGAAGUGGCUUACCAGGUAAGCCGUGUGGGGCGCUGUGGGCGCUGAUGGGUGGUACCUGUUACUAUUUUUCUAUUUUAUGUAUUUUUUUUUUUUUUUCUUUGGGUUGGGUUACUCUGAAUUGCCGGCAACAACCGGACGUGACGCUAUACGUGUGCGUCACCCUGCUGGUACACCGUACAGGUGUUACUUCUUAACGUUACAAUUAGAUAUAGGAAAAGGGAAUAACAGUGCCAAUCAAUUAAUGUAAACAAUAAAGCAGUUCGCCGCCUGUGUGGGCUCUCGGCUGUGAGACACAUUGCAAGUGAAAACAGCUACGAGGGUGCACCAGGGGGGAGCCAAUUGUACAGUUCUUGUGUAGGAUACAUAUCUGUGUUCCAUCAGUGUUGUUCGGUAUCUUUGGGCCUCGUGUGGUGAGGUGGAGUCGUCGUUGAGCCCGCCGCGUGCCAUGGGAUAGGUCGGUAGUCCCGGGGUUGUUUUCUGGGUGGUGAAGUUGCUGGCGAACGUGCGUUGUCAAGUCGAGCCAUUGGGAUGUUCCACUCUCUGAGCAGUUUUGCGCCGUCUCGUGGAGUAAAGAUUACUAAGUCCACUCCGUUUCGUUUUAGUAGGAUUUUCGUGGGAUAUCCCCAUUUGUACGGGAUAGCUGCAUUCCUGAGCGCUACGGUGAUAGGUGCAAACCCUCGUCUCUUGAUCAUGGUAGCAAUUACAUCAAGUGUCUCUACAUUUUGAGGAGUUUCAUAAUUCUGAUCCAUCCCUUUUAAAAUUCAUAGGGAUCCAACAGAUCAAUAACAAUUGGAGAGGAGGCAAUUUGAUCCAGAAUUUAGGCCGUAUGGAGAUGAGGUGGAUAUUUGAGUUGAACACUCUCAUUCCUCACGGAAUGAACAAUGAUUUUGAGAUCUGUCAUUUUCUAUGAUUCUAUAUAUAUAUAUAUAUAUAUAUAUAUUUCUAUACAAUACACUUUUUGGAGGUGUAUCUGUAUAUAUAUAUUUUUAUGCUGUUUUGGAGAGAUAUAUUCCUCUAGACUGUUUUGGAGGGAUAUGUUCCUUUAAAUCAGUAUAAGUCUGGAGAUCCACUCAGGCUCCGUUUUAAAUAAGCUACUAAUGUGUCCAUUGAACAUUCUACUUGUUUCUAAUGUAUAUUUUGUCUGUAUAAUAUGAAAAGACAUUGCUAUUGUGUCACUUUAAAUAACAAGAUGAAAUUACACUGUAAUAAUGAUGGACUAACAAUAACAUAUGUUGUUUCCUUUUCUCUUUCUCUAUUUUUGAACUAGGUAUCUUUAAUUGAAAUAUAAGUGCUUUUAUUGGAUGUAUUCUAUUGAUUGUGGUUAGAUGAUUAGGGCUAUUUAAUAGAUUAUGUUGAACUAUUUUAAUUUUAAAAUCUUUUUUAUUGGUAUUAUUGCAUAUAUAUUGAAUGUACUGCAUUAAAAAAUUUGCUAAAUGUAUAUUUUGCUAUAAAUGGAAAUGAAAAAUAAAAAAAGAAUGUUUUAUAAGAUAAAUCAAUGUUUAUUGAUAAGGAUGCCAAACACAUGUGGACAAUAUUCAAAUGCACUAAUUGUGUGUAAAGCAAGGUAUAUAAAAGCUCCCAGAGAGGGGGAACAAUCAAGCACUUCAAGUCCUGACGAAGCCGUCUGUGAACGGAGAAACGCGUAGAUACGGAAGUACGUCAAUAAGGGGGCAGAGCCUAUUCAGAAGCCGGGCGUUUCAAAAAAGCAGAAGCAAGACCAGACGCCAUCCGGACAAAAUAAAAAGGCACCCCACAGACGAUUAGCCAUCUUCUGGUACAGGAGACAUCUGCCAGUGCGGGAAAACAUGUUUGUGGGUAAACGGAUUUACACCGUUGUACUCACCACCACAUCUAGUAAGCAAUAACCUGCUAUACAUUUUGAUAGUGUUUGGCUUCACUGUUGCAUCAAUUAAGCAGUAAUCUGCUAAACAUAUGUCAACUAAACAGUGAAUUUAGAUGUAUUUUAUGUUUUUAUUAUUAUCAUUCUUUUAUUACUUUUUAUAGCCUGUUAUGUAUUGAUUAUUAUCUUCUGUUUUUAAUUUGUGGUAAUACUGUAAUAAAUUUUCAUCCAGCUAAUUAAGCUGAUUUAAUUCAAUGUUUAUAGAAUUCAAUAAUAUUCACUGAUCCAUGCAGAUCUGUUCUAUGAUCCUUUUCAUAUAUUUUUUCCCAUAUAUGCUGAGCUUGAAUUGGGAUAUUAAGCAACAAGCAAUAAAAGUAUAAAUUUAUUUUUUUAUCACUUGAUUGCAUGUGGGAAAGGGGUUUUGUCCUUUAGCUCUAACAUUGCUCCACUUCUUAACACUAUAAGAAUUAGAUAUUUAUUUGGCAAAAUUGGAAAGACAGAAUAAAGUCAACCACACUAAGGAGAUGGCAGGUGAGAUACUGAUUACCAAGGGUAAAAUAAUAAAAAAAAAAUUACAAGAAAAUGCAGAGAAAUUACUAUCACGUCUAAAACGGAACUGCUAUUAUAAUAACAAUAGACCUGGAAAAGAACUGACCAGGAAAUUACAAAUAUACAAUCAGCAACUCGGAAUAAAACAAUCUUUUUGACGGUAAUACCUGUAUCCAGCUCAGAUAGGAAAGGCAUUUGGCCAAUAUUAUAAAUCACUUUAUAAUCUUCCAGAUUCGGAGGCUAAAAAUAUUGACAUGAGAUCAUUCCGGAAGAACCUGAAUCUCCCCUCUUUAUCCCCAUAAAAACUAGAUAGUUUAAAUCAGGCUUCCCCAAACUCCGGCCCUCCAGAUGUUGCUUAACUACAACUCCCAUAAUGCUCUAUUUAAUUCGUAGAAUCAUGGGAGUUGUAGUUAAGAGAGCCAGAGUUUGGGGGAGCCUGGUUUAAAUCAUUCUUUUACAACAUCAGAAAUUUCAUCUUCAAUAAAGGAAAUUAAAAGGGGAAAGGCUCCGCGUGCGGAUGGCUUUUCCGCUUUAUUUGUUCAAAUUCUUGAUUCAGUUGUUAAUCCUCUUAAAUAUUGGUUUCUCUUUAGAGAUCAUGGAAUACAGUAUCUCUCCUAUCUUAAAGCCGAGGAAAGAUCCAACACAAGUAACCAACUAUAGGCCUAUUUCUCUUAUUAAUUUAGGCAUAAAGCUUUUUUCUAAGAUUCUAACCCAAAGACUAAAUCAAGUGAUUCACGGAUUUAUCAAUCCAGACCAGACUGGCUUUAUGCCCGGCAGAUCAGGAGAGGAGAACACCUGCAGAGUCUUCAACAUUUUAGAGGAAAUCCAUCUUAAACAAACUUCCUCUAUUUUAAUGGCUCUCAAUGCUGAAAAGGCAUUUGAUAGAGUGAAUUGGAGGUUUAUGUUGGAGACUCUGUGGGUGUUUGGUAUAGAUGGUAUGAUGGUAUAUGAAUCUAACUGUGAAAGUCAGAGGCCCAUAUAGUGACUCUAGUGCAUUCAACAUGGCACUCGGCGGGGUUGUCCCUUGGCACCUCUCCUUUAUGUCUUAUCAAUCGAACCGCUGGCUGCCUACAUAUGAAAAAAAAUCAUUAAAAUUAAGGGUAUAAAGAUUGGCCAUCAAGAACAUGCCAUUACAUUAUAUGCGGAUAAGGCUCUCCUCUCACUCUCUUCUCCAGAAUCCUCAAUACCAGCCCUUUUGGAGGCAAUAGAUUUACUUUCCUCACUAUCUAAUUGUAAAUUAAAUCUUUCUAAAACCCGAAUAUUGACAUUCUAUAUGACCGAUAAACAAAGGCGAUAUUGGCCAAUUUGAUAUAUAUCAAAAGUCCGUAGACGAUUUAGAAACUAUUACAAUGAAUUAUGAAACCUUGUGGGGGGAACUUGAUAUAUUAUUGACUUAAUGAAAGAAAUUAGAAAUCUCAUGGCUGGGGCGGCUCAGAGUAUUGAAAUCAUGUACUCCCAAAACUUAGUUUUCUGUUUAGAACUAUACCAUAUCAAAAAUUCGAUCUGGCGUUUUCAAGAUUUGUCUUGGCAUCCAGAAAACCUAUGAUCCCUAGUAAAGAGAAGUAUGUUACAAGAUGGUUUGGAAUAUCCAGAUAUAUAUCGUUAUCAUGAUUCAUUCCAACUCUAUGCUAGCUUGGAGGAGAGGGAAAGAAACUAAUCUAGGCUGGUGCAAUAUUGAAAAAUUCAGAAUAGGAAGCUGUGAGCCAUACUUAUUAUGCUGGUCCUCUACCAGCCUAUUAAAAACAAAAUGCAAAUCGAGGGUCUUUUAAUAAAGAGCAUUAUAUUAUCAGCACAUAAAAUUAGAUAGAGAUAGAAUUGUAACAAUAUUUUUACUAAACAUACUUAUUUUGAACUCUUAUCCCAGUAGGUAUUAAUAGGCUGGGAGAUUAAUUUAAUUUAGAUAAAAUGAUAUUUCCUGGUGUCGUGAGAUCAUUUAAAUUAACUACAAAAUAAUUAUUUAAUUAGAUCAGAAUCAAACAUUUUUUUCUUAGUAAAUUCUAUAUAUAAAUUUGCUAUUUUUAACUCAGAAUUUGCAUUUGGAAUAGGACUAGAAGAGCAGUUCACUGUAUUAACCUUCACGAACAGUUUUAUAAGUUGUCUCACAGAUAGUACUUGGUUCCUACUCGUACAGCCAAAUUGCAAACAAACUCCAAUGAUCUAUGUUGGAGAUGUCGACAAAAGAUGGGAUCACAAUUCCAUAUUUGGUGGGAGUGUUUUUUAGAUAAAAUAUCAGAAAUUAUUAGAGAUACAUUAGAUUUUCCCUAUACAAUAACUCCUCAGACUUUCUUUCUGCAUUUAGAUUUUCCUGUUACAGACAAACAUACUAUAUUCCUCAUAAUAAAUAUAUUAUUGGCCUUCAAGAUAUGUUUAGCAAGACAUUGGAGAACACAAACUGUUCCAUCAUGGCCUGAGACUGAAAUUCAAAUGAAAUACCAGGCAUCUGCAGAGAAAUACUUAAUAUACUAUAAUAGGGAUGUUUCGACAAAAGCUCGAUACGAUAAGAUUUGGUCAAAAUGGUCUGCAAUAUAAAUUAAACUCAAAACUUUGUUCCCUACGAGAACAAUAUGUAAUAAAAUUGUAAAUACUCCAGAAACCUCUAAAAAUAGAGUAGUCGGAGCACACCAUGCUCUGAGAUACCAGAGACAAUAAAAUAAAUAUAAGUUAUUGAAUGAAUGUAUAUUUGUUUUCUUUUUUGUUUUUUCUCCUCACCUCUUCUCAGAUUUAAAUUGUAAAAUUUUAUAAUAUAUAUAUAGUGUCAUAAUUUGAAUCCAAGUAGAAAGCUCCAACAGAAUAAAGAGGUAAAGAGCAGAAAUUCUAUUUUGUUUAUCUGUGUACUUUGGAUUAUAUAAAUGUAAUCAAUUAUUUUGUUACCUAUAUAAUCAUAUAUGUAUUAUUUUUCCUUUUAUACAAAAUUGUUAAUAAAGAUAUAUAUUUAUAAAUUGUAAAAUAUGUUGCAUGGGAAAUAGCUUUUUUACUGCUGUUGAUGAAUGGGUAUCAGACUGUCCAUACUAAGCACCAUUAAUGACUGAUUCACCUCCGGGCGCCAAAAUCUAUGCCACUCGACAGCAAGGUCAGAGCCUAAUGUAAGGAUGUGAAAUCCUCGUGCUAAGCUCAACCCUCUCUGUCAAGUGACAGAUGGGAAGCUCCAGACCUGCCCUGUAUGCAGCGAUUAUUGCACCCUGGACAGCCGCAUCAUCAUCUCCCUACGGUAGUUACGCUACUGGUUCCAAUAAAGAAUACAUUUUGAAGAUAUUAGUGAUACAAUUUAAAAUGUAUCUAUGUUGCUCCCAUUCUGGCCUAAAUAUUGUAACAUGAUCCUCAGUUCAGUGUUUUAUUAACAAAUUCCACUGCACUGUAGCCUUUCUUUUAUAUCUGACAAACUGUGGAGUUCUGUGUUCUAUUGGACUCUUUAGCUGUGCCUGUUAUAGACCAAUAUCCCUGUGAACUUUGAGACUGAGAAACCCAAAGUUUUAAACACCCAAGACUCUGUGGACUAGUUUUGACUAUGGGUUGAUAUCCCUUUGGUCCAUACUGGACAGGCAUGCGCUAAUGGUGUCCCAUCCCAAGACGUGACACACAAUUUAUAUUUUGAAAAUAUGAAUUCUAAAAUGUUAAAAAUCUUACUUUUAGUCAAGUUUGCUGCUGCUGACUCUGCCCCUGAUCUGCCUGCUUUGCUGACAUUAUCAGAAGUAUUAUUCAAAGCCAUUCACAAUGACUUCCCAUAGGGAAGCAUUUGAUUGGGUAAGACUGUCAUGGAGGCAGAGCCAGCACAAGCCAAACAGGAGCCCUGGCCAAUCAGCAUCUACUUAUAGAUAUGCAUUGCAUCAAUGCAUCUCUAUAAGGAAAGUUUAGUGUCUCCAUGCAGAGGGUGGAGACACUCAAUGUCAGUACUGCACAUUGUGCAGCACUGCCCCAGGAAGCACCUCUAGCAGCCACAUCAGGAGUGGCCAGUGGAGUCAUCCCUAGGCUGUAAUGCAAACACUGCAUUUUCUUUGAAAUGGCAAUGUUUACUGCAAAACGCCUGAAGGUAAUGACUUUUCUGGUUCUGUCCUCCUCCAGACUCCUCUGUUCUAUGAUGGUCCUAUUUUGUUUCACGUGUGAGACUUAAUGUUUGCUCCCAGCAUGUGCCUUCAGAGUUAUCACGGUCUCAUACCAUUCAAUUGUCAUUUAACUUGCACCAUCCUUGCUAUGGAUCUGGUACAUAUAAAUGGACAUAAACAUUGUAUACUUCACAUUAAUGAAUCUUACAUAUUAAGAUGUAUACACUUAUAUGUAUGGCCGUAUGCCUGAAUAAACAAAGUACUACCUAGUUUGUAAGCUCAAAGGCUGCACUUUGUAAGGCACUACAAGAGCAGUCAAGCAAUCCAAUGUCCUGAUGACAGAGAGACACAAGCACAGACACACAACAGUGAGUGGUUAAGUAUUCAUACUUCGGUAAAAUUCGCAAUGAACCAUUAGAUAACCAAGUUUGCUUUGAAUAGUGUUAUAGUCAUGGUGAACAUGUCCAUAAAUGGAUGCCCCAAAAUUGGUCAAGAACCGAUUUAAUUGCAUGUCUGAGCAGACAGUCAAUUCUAAGAAUGGAGGUAACUUUACUAAGAAUCUUCAACUUGGACUAAAAGCCUCUGGAUGGACCUAGGUCCCAUCACUACACUGCAUUCUUCUUUUAGUCUGCAUGUAAGAAUAAAAAAAUUACAAAAUUGUGUUACAAAAAAAUCAUUUAUAUCACAGAUUUGAAAUGCAAGAUGACAGAAGGAUAAGCAAAUUAAAUUAUAAAUGGCAAACUUUGUACUUUAUCUUAAAAAGGCACAAUCAAUAAUUUUAACGGUUGUGCUUAUCUGCAUCCUGUUCAAGUUAGAAACUAACGAAUGGAGCUAAAGUCUGACUUAUAGGGUAAUCGUAAUUGUAGCAUGGUUCUUAGCAGCAUUGUUAAGAGUUAUACAAGUAAAAAAAUAUAUAUAGUUAUAUGAAAAAGUAGAUACAAUUAAGCAAGACAGAUAAUCUAGGGAAACUUAAAAACAAGACAUUUUUUUAGAAUUUCUGGAUUUAGAAUAUAUUAAACUUUCCCCUGCAGAGGUAACCUAAUUAUUUACUGACAGAAUAUUCAGGAAUAUGUCUUGACUUUAAGAGAGGUCUUUGUGUAGCGAUACCUUUGAAGCUAUGAAAGGUAUUUGAGUGGAUAUGGGAACUCUCUCUUAAUACAUAAAAUAUCUAACCCAUUUUAAUCUACACAGCAUUGGCAUCCGAUUUCUCAAAGCAAUGAAUAAAAUUAUAAGAAGUAAAACCAUACAGAAUAAUACAAAAUUAGUUUUUAAUGCACAACUUAAUGAGUGUGCUUGUUUGCCAACAAAACCCUUGACAAUGACAAAUGACUAAUUGUACUGUAGCUGGUUUCACAGUGAAUUAACCCAGAAACCACCAAUUUUUAAUUACAGGAACUUCUAGCAUGGAAUAAAUUGUGACAGAUGCAAGAGAUAACUAAUAGAAAGAGCUAUAAGUCAUCAAAGAGUUGGUGUUGAAUUCUUAAACAAAGAUUUGUGAACGUUUCCUCUCUGGCCCCUUAACAGUUAUAUGAUAGACAUCUGCUUAAGCUGGUAGUAGAUGAUCGUGAACAAGUCAAGGGAUCACUGUUCAUUGAUAGUUAAAGGGAAACUAUGGGGUAAAAAUUACAUUCUAUUUUAAUGCAUUGUAUAGAUAAUACAUUUAAAAUAUAAUGCAAGAAGAGAUAACUAGAAAAGCUACAAUUUCUGGAGAAAUUGUGUGAAGUGUUCUUGCCUCCACCAGUAGUCUACAACUGGAGUGGGUGGAGUAACUGUUAUUAUUUAUAUAGCUAAUUUAAUUGCAACGUUGUUGCCCAAAGUGCUUCACAGUUACAUUAAAACAUACAUUUAUAAAAACAUUAGCAGGUGUACAAAAGGCCCUCUCUAUGACAUCACUUGCUGUUCCAGCCUAGCACAGGUCAGAGUAUUUUGGCGGUUGCCAUCUUCUAACGGUCGUAUUUUACAAACUAUAAAUCCUACAGCUUUAUAUUGUGAGAAUCACAAAACCCAGACCUACAUUUUGAUGCAUAGUAUGUCUCUGAAGUAUUAAAAAUGAAGGCACAGUCGCAGUUUAGAAAUUGCCCUUCAUAUUUAAGCUGGCUGGAGUGGAGUUUCAAUGAAUGUCAAUGGACAGCGUGAGUUGCAAACAAAUGGUCAUAUUGUGAAAUCUAUCAGGACUAUGGCUUAGCCGUGGACAUUUUUAGUGGCAGCAGGGAUAGCUGAAUGUUUUGAUAUAAGAUUUGUGUAGGUGGGCUUGAAAAUGAGGGAGUGGUGGCAGUUUAGAAAUCGUGUCCUGAAUUUUCAGCUUUUGCCAGCUCCCACUCUAGUUUUGAACAUUUUGCCAUUCAUUCCUAUGGGAUCAAUUUCGCCACAAGAACGACGAUAUUCCGUGAACCAUUCGGCGAAACGUUCCACAAAGUAAUAGCAAUCCGAUUGGAACAAUCCGCACGUUUCGGUAUAUUACUGUCUAUGUAGUGUAAAAACUGUGGGAGGAGUUAGGGUGGUAAAUUUGGCUAGAAUAAGAAUAAGAAUAAUAUAUAUGUGAGAUAACAUUAAGUGGUCUUGCUAUGCAAGUAAGGCAAGUAAGUGUUAAGGCAAGUAAGUGACUGUAACAAAACUGAGUGGAAACUAGGGAUGUCCAUGGGCAAAAAAUUUGGUUCGGUUCGGAAUAAUUCGACACUUCGGUUUGGUUCGGCACUUCCAAAAUUUGGGACUUCGGCAUUUCGGAGCUUCGGCAACUCAGAACUUUGCCAAUUCUAAACAUCUGUAGAGCUCCCUAACCAUACCACUAACCUUAACCCUACCCCAUUGGCGGAUCCAGGGGGGGGGGGGCAACGGGGCAAUUGCCCCCCCCGAGAAAUCCGCCGGUCUCCCUCCCCUGCCAGCCGUGCAAUGUGCCUGCGGACCGGGGAGGAAGAUCAGAGAUCUCCCUCCCCCGUCCGCAGGCACUGUGCUGACAGCCGGCGGCGGAGGGAGAGGGAGGACCCGGAGCUCAGGCUGCGGCUCCUCCGGGUCCUCNNNNNNNNNNNNNNNNNNNNNNNNNNNNNNNNNNNNNNNNNNNNNNNNNNNNNNNNNNNNNNNNNNNNNNNNNNNNNNNNNNNNNNNNNNNNNNNNNNNNACAAACACUGUCCCCAUACACACACUGCCCCCCCAUACACACACUGCCCCACAAACACUGUCCCCCAUACACACACUGUCCCCAUACACACACUGUCCCCAUACACUCACUGCCCCACAAACACUAUCCCCAUACACACACUGCCCCCCAUACACACACUGCCCCACAAACACUGUCCCAAUACACACACUGCCCCACAAACACUGUCCCCAUACACACACUGCCCCACAAACACUGCCCUGACAUACACUGCCCCACAAACACUGUCCCCAUACACACACUGCCCCACAAACACUGUCCCUGACAUACACUGCCGCACUCACACACUUCACCCUUAACACACACCACUGCUCCUAUACCCUAUAUCCCAGUAGACCCCAGGUAAGUUGUCAAACUGUUCUUAAACAGUAUGACUACUUACUCUGGGGUGGAAUCCUGGCACUACUGACACCAUAACUACUACACUGAGCUGUAGUAGUUAUUGUGCCUGGAUUAUUUAUUUAACCCCUUAAGGACACAACUUCUGGAAUAAAAGGGAAUCUUGACGGAAUAUUUCCGUCAUGUGUCCUUAAGGGGUUAAAUAAUCUACAAGUGCCCCUCCCGAGAUCAGGCUCUGGAUCCGCCACUGCCCUACCCUUAACCCUAGUCCUUCCACUAAACCUAACUCAUCAUUCAUGUAAUUUUCCCUCCCUCUUUUGUUUUUUCAGAAAUCUGAAGCACUUUGGAAAUUCGGAAGCAUCCGGAUUUCUGAAUUGCCCGAAUUUACAUUCUGAACUAAACGAAUUGCACAUGUCUAGUGGAAACCAGUUACUAUCAGUAAUGAUAGUGGAGCGCUAAAAAACGUUAAUUAUGUAAUUAUGAAUAUACAACAGUAUGCUAGAUAAAUAAAACACUGUCCCUGACAAUAUAGUGUAGUAUUUUAGAUGAAGCCAAUGUGAGUGUAAAUAUAAUCAAUAUGCACUCACAAGGGGUAGAGCCAAAUAAGGAGAGGCUCAGAUCUCAUGAGCAGAUGUGUCCUGAUGAGACACAGGUCCUCUUCAGUCUUUGUCCAUAGUGGCUCAAUGGGAGAUUUAGAGCAAAUAACAAAUACAGCUGAUGGUAAAGUACAGUUCUGCUUUAAGGGGAACACUUUCCUUAUUUGGUCCAGGAAGCAGUAGAAAUGGAGUAGCACAAAUUGGAAGUUAAAAAACUAUUACAUUUAUAAAACAAAAGUGUAACAUAUAUCAAAUAUAAAAUAAAAGAUAAAGUUUAAAGUACUUCAGUCCUGCUGAGACACUUUUCACCACAUUCAGUGGCUUUCUCAAUCGGUGCCUGCUUCCUUCACGCAUCCAUCUUUUAAAUCCUCAACCACUUCCUUAUAGGUCACUUGCUCAGAAAUUCAUCCAAUCACGGAUGUUCUAUUUGGAAGUUGUGUAUAUCAUAGCUGAUUUUCGUAUAUAAAUGAUGUCUAAGGAAGUGGUGCGGUAGUUGUUUGUGUUGCCUCCAUUUUAGUUUUUAUUCUGCCAUUUUGGUUAAAGGCAUGUUAAGGGAAAGAAUCAUGUAAACCCGAAAACCGGAAGUGACGUGUCGGUCCUAAAAUUGCGUCACUUCCUGGUUACAGUUUCCUGGUUGUGCAGUAUCAGAUCUCCAGUUGGUUAAGAAAUGACAAAUGUUUAAUUGAUUUAAAAACUAGAAUAUAAAUAUUACACUUACAUAACACAAUAAAAAUAUAUAUAAAUAUAAAAAUAUAUAUAAAUAUAAGACUCAACCUCUAUUUACAAAGCAUAUAAUUGCAAUUUAAAUUGUCAAGGAACAUAUUAAGAUGUAUUCAUAUAAAUUGAAAUGAAAUCAUUUAAAAAAAAUAGAAAUAAAAUCAUUUUAUAAAAAAUGGCAGAACUCAAAGUCAUUAUUAAGUGCAUUGGGCACCAAUGCAUUCAGAUUGAAAAUCCAUUUCAUUUCAGUCCGCCACAUUUUUCUAAUCAUAUCUUUGCCUCUCCAAUCUAGCACUACUUUUUGAAUUUCAAUGAAUUCUGUACCUCUGUGAAUUCUGUUUAAUUUUAUAAUGUAGUGAUAGAUUUUGUUUUUCACAGCCAUUCUUUAUAUUUCUUAAAUGUUCUUGAAUUCAGACAUUCAAUUUAUGAGUCGUGCGUCCUACAUGAAACAGGCCACAAAGACAUUUAGUCAAAUAUAUCACUGUUGUUGAGUGAUGUGUAAUAACCUGUUUAAUGUGAAAGAUGUUGUCUUUUUGUGUAAAUUUUUAACCAGACGUUUAUGAUUCCCAGUGUUCUUGCAUGCGCAACAUUGUCCGCAUCCAUAGAAUACUUUGGAUUCUUUAAAAAACUGGGUGGUUUCUUUGGUUUUAAAGUGACUGUGUACUAGAUUAGUUUUAAAAUUGAAUACCCCUCUAUAUAUAAUACGACGCUUAUCUACAGUAUUUGACGUAAAAUUUUGUCAUUUCUUAAAAUGGGCCAAUAUUUGUUAAAAAACAGUGCCUGUAUUUACUUUAUAUUGUAAUAGUGUCUCUCUGGUGUGCUUGUUGUAAUAAGCUGUCCUUAUACCCUUUAUCUUUAAAGUUUUUAAAACAUUUUUAGGAUUGUUCUUGAAAUUUCGUUUCAUCUGUGCAAUUUCUUUUAAUACGUACAAGCUGUGCUUUGAGGGCUUUUGUGAGCCAUGGUGAAUAGUGGCAGCUGCUCUCUUGAAUAUAACUAUUCACAUCUACUUUCUUAAAGAACGUACUUGUUUUAAGUAGACCUUCCUCUACAUAAAUAUUAAGAUCUAAAAAGGUCAUCUGAGUAUAGCUAAAAUCGCUAGUAAGAAAAAUUCCCCAAUCAUUAAGAUUUAGAUAUGCUAAAAAGGAAACUAGGGAGUUCUCAUCUUCCUUCCAAAUAAAACAUAUGUUGUUUAUGUAACGGCGAUAGGUGACCAGCUUCGCAUCCCACCUAUGUUCCUUCAAAAUGAAUUCAUGUUCCCACAAGUACAUAAAUAAGUUUGCGUAACUGAGUGCAAACCUGGUCCCCAUCGCCGUUCCACAUAUCUGAAAUUAAUUUGAUCCCCUCCAGAAUAAACUCAAUGUGAGUCUGAAGGACCUUCUUGGAAUUUUCCAAAAAGUGUCUGGUGGCUUGACAGCCUCAUUCAUGUUCAAUAGUGUACAGUGAGCUCACAUCUGCAGUCACUAAAAAGUAAUCCUGUUCCCACUGUACACGAUUCAGAACCUGGAGGAUGUCAAUAUUAUCCCUCAGGUAGCCUGGACAAUUGUGGACAAUUUGUUGGAGGUUCCGAUCAAUAUAUUGUGACAAUCGGCUCAAGGUGGAGUUAAUCCCUGAGACUAUAGGUCUCCCAGGGGGGUUUUCUUUGUCUAUCUUUGGGAGGUAAUAGAAAACCAGAAUCUUAGGAUGGGGAAUGUUUAAAAAUUCUGAUUCUUUUUUUGUUUAGUAUACUCAAGGUUUUUUCCUUUCUCAAUCAGCCUGCUGUAUGCACUCAGGAAGGAAGUGGUUUGGGAUUUAAAAGAUGGACACGUGAAGGAAGCAGGCACCAAUUGAGAAAGACACUGAACGUG